rnacentral:rRNA from 1 species
GAUGAACGCUGGCGGCGUGCCUAAUACAUGCAAGUCGAGCGAACGGACGAGAAGCUUGCUUCUCUGAUGUUAGCGGCGGACGGGUGAGUAACACGUGGAUAACCUACCUAUAAGACUGGGAUAACUUCGGGAAACCGGAGCUAAUGCCGGAUAAUAUUUUGAACCGCAUGGUUCAAAAGUGAAAGACGGUCUUGCUGUCACUUAUAGAUGGAUCCGCGCUGCAUUAGCUAGUUGGUAAGGUAACGGCUUACCAAGGCAACGAUGCAUAGCCGACCUGAGAGGGUGAUCGGCCACACUGGAACUGAGACACGGUCCAGACUCCUACGGGAGGCAGCAGUAGGGAAUCUUCCGCAAUGGGCGAAAGCCUGACGGAGCAGCGCCGCGUGAGUGAUGAAGGUCUUCGGAUCGUAAAACUCUGUUAUUAGGGAAGAACAUAUGUGUAAGUAACUGUGCACAUCUUGACGGUACCUAAUCAGAAAGCCACGGCUAACUACGUG